AGCCCGGGGCCGCGGCGGGCAGAGGUGGCGGUGGGGUGGAGGGAGAGACCCGACUGACAGCAGCGGCGGUGCUCAGCAAAAGCAAAAGCCUUUUGUAAAGUGAGGUCCAAGAGUCCCAAAGACGUGGUAUGUAGAUGCACCCAGUGGUCAAAAUGAAACCAAGCAAAAAAUGACAAGUGGUGUAAUUGGCACCAGCCUCUAGCAAGUAUAUCUCCAAGUAACAUCUGUACCCAGCUCCUUGAAGUAUACUGGGAAUAUCAGCAACAAAAACACCAGAAACAUCUGGAUAAUUAUCUAGCAAUAGACUGGCUGGUGACUCAACUCCAAAUGUGAACCAAGCGUGAACUACACAAGAAAUUAACUCUUUUCUUGCACAUAUUUAGACACUUCAAAUAGAACAUUUUGCAUUCCAUUUUUACCAGUAAAUACCAUAAAUAAUACAAUUUACUUUUGAUUACUCUCAGAACUUACUAUGUAAUAUGUUAGUACAGCUGGAGGGUGUGAUGAUAUAGUAGCACUGUUGGCUGAUAAGAGAAAACUGGCAUUAACCCAAUUUAUGAGAAUUGCUUUCUAGCAUUAUUAUGGGUUUUUGCUAAGAGAAGAUACUGUAAUGAGGAAGAAUGUUAAACUGUACUUAUGUAACUCAUAACAUAGGUACACAUGUGUUAUAAUUUUCAUGAAAUAAAAUACUUUUGCUGAAUAACAGUAAAUAAAAUUUAAGACAGUUUAAGAUGCAUAUAGUAGAGCUGGAUUAAGAUUUUUGGAGGGACUAAGCACUGAAAAGAUUUUGACGUCUCAUCACCUCACCUCAUAUGUAAAUAAAAUAAAAAUAAUACAAAACAAAAAAUAAGUAUAAAGAAGUCCAACAAAGUUCUGCUUUCCCCCUUGAUGACUAUUUCCAUGCUUUUGCUGAAAGAUUAAAUCCUUUAAGAAGGUAUUUUUGUCUUUUUACUCUGGCAUUGCUGGUGACCUGAAGUAUACGUGUAGUCUGCUUAUUGUGUAAACCAGAAGUGGCAGCACAGAGGUGUUUAGUCUUGGUUUAGAGAGUAUACUUUACACUACAAAGUACCUCCAAUGAAAAUCUAAUAUUUAUUGAGUGUCACUUCACUGAGGUAGAUUUGAAAGUGAGUAUCUCUGCCCUUAGUAAGCUUAUAUUCUAACACGGUGUACAGGAAAGAUUCACAAUUAAGUAUCUAUUACAGCGGUUCUCAACCUCUGGGCCUCGGAACAAUGAAAAUACAUCCUGCAUAUCAGAUAUUUGCAUUAUGAUUCAUAACAGUAGCAAAAUUACAGUUAUGAAGUAGCAAUGAAAAUAAUUUUAUGGUUGGGGGUCACCACAACAUGAGGAACUGUAUUAAAGGGUCGCGGCAUUAGGAAGGUUGAGAACCACUGAAUAUUGAAAGUAGUGGUUUCUCUUUUAAGUUAGUAAUGAAAUAUCUCUCAAAACAGUGUAAAUAUAGGUUUAUAGUUGGAUAUGAAAUACUUGGUGUUACAAUUCAAUCACAUUAUUUUGUGACUUUCCCUCUGACAAGUGUGCAGUUUCUGAAUGAUUAACUUAUGGAAAUAUGUGUAUGUAUUUGUAAUUUCUUUACCUAGUUUCAAAAUCUUCCUCUUGUAUGUAUAGACCCAACAGAGGUGGAAAACAGACUAGUACUCUCAGGGGACCUUUUAAUCAUUUCGUAAUUGUGGCUUUGGCAUUUUAUUUCUGAGAUUCAGCAGGCUUUUUCAUGUGGGUACUUACAUUACUUAAUGAAAGUUUUUACAAAAAAAUUUUUUUAACAUUGAUUUUUUGAGAGAGGAAAGUAGAGAGAAACCUUGAUUUGUUGUUCCACUUAAUUAUGCAUUCACUGGAGG